rnacentral:lncRNA from 1 species
AACUUCUCCCUCAUCUCGCUUUCCAACUCCCGCAUUGCUUCUUCCAAGGUAUGAUAUUGCCACUGCACCUUCACUAUGGGAAUCAUCUUGUUGCAUAAGACCUUGUCAGUCCAUCUAAGAAUCUCCACGGGGAUUUUCUCAUUCAUCAUAUCAGCUUGUAUCGGCGCUUUAUUAUGAGGAAUGAUAUGAUACGGGUCAGGGUGGUACUUUUUGAGCAUUGAGAUGUAGAAAAUAUCAUGUAAACCCAUAAACUCUCUGGGUAGAGUAAGGCGGUACGCCAUAGGUCCAAUGUACUUAAUGAUCCAAAAAGGUCCCAUAUAACGAGGGCCUAACUUCCCUCUUUUCCUGAAUCGUAUCUUCCCCUUAUAAGGGAAAACUUUAAGGAAAAAUUGGUCUCCAAUGGCAAAUUUCAGGGGUCACCUACGAUUAUC